CUGUUAUUUAUAAAUAUAUCUUUGAUAAAAAAAAAAAAAAAACAAGUAAGAUUCUAACUCAAAUUAGGUAAGCACAAAUGGAGUGUUUUUUGUUAGGUCUUACAAAACAAGAGUUUGGCUUGGAGUUGGCAAUACGUGUGUUGGCGCCGAUUGAUGCGGUGAGGAAUAACGUAGUAUGUAAAUCCAUGUAAAUAAUCUUAUUUGUUAGUUUAAAUUCCAUUAAUAAGCAUGCACAUCAUCAUUUCAAACAACAACUAUAAUCGAUUAGAAUUUGUUGGGAGUGUUUCUUCCUAAUCAAACCCUUAACGUAGAUUGAUGCGGUGUGUUGGCAAUACUUGUGUUGGCGCCGAUUGAUGCGGUGAGGAAUAACGUAUAGUGUGUGAAUCCAUGUAAAUAAUCUUAUUUGGUAGCUUAAAUACUGAGUUUGUAUGAGAAGAUGAGAACUCAAUUUAGAAAAGAGUAUAAGUUCACUCUCUAACAAUCUAAAAUCAUAGUGUUAAAGCCGUAGAUCUACUAUACCAACUACUACCACCAUUCUGCAGAGGCGGAUCCAUGUAAAGGGCAGGGGUGUCAGAUAGCACCCUUAAAUAAUAUAAAUCAUUUUUGUAGGCUCUGUACAAUAAGAAAGGUAAAGCUUCUAUUUAUAUUCUUUCACCCAUCCUCUGAUCUCUAACUGUCAUCUCCUUUCCUCUUGCCAGCUCAGCAACCCACAGCCACGUCAGCUCUAGUAUUCAAUAUCUAUCAGCUUAACUGCCGGAGAUCUCACGGCGAUUAACACAGGCGCGUCGAGGCUCUACUUGGUCGGCUCAACCUUCAUCGUCCUCUGCUACUGCCUCUUUAAAGAACUCCGCAAGUUCUCCUUCAAGCUCGUCUUCUACCUCCCUCUCUCUGAUAUGAUUUGCAGCUUCUUCCUAAUCCUAGGAACUUUCCAGAGGCAGAGGAUCUCUCUGCAUAUGAUGGCUGGAGUUAAGGCUAGUGCCUUUUCAGUUAAAGGUGUUCGCGAGCUCAUAAAACCGUCAUCGAAUCGGAAGGUCAUGGAGUAUGUCCAGUCCAGCAAGUUUUCAUCUUGCCAAGUUCCAGCCACAGAAAAAGAGCAAUUUAUUUCUCUGAACAUCCCGGAAAACCUGCCUAGGUUAUGGCAGCAGCAAGGGUAUACUCACCUUCACUUUGGUGUAAUGAGAAUUGGUUUGACCUUACAUACGAGAAAAGGUCUACCAGUCAUCGCCCAGAUAGCUUUGAUCGACUCUCGAUUAAAGUCCUACCAGCAAGCAUGCAUCGGAACGGUUCAAACAACAUUAAACGCAUGAACAAUAUUCAUAACACUGUUUCUAAACUUUAAUGUUUCUUUACAAGACCCGAAUCUCUUAAAGACACUCAAGGUUCAGUUUCAACUAAUCGGAGCACCUAUGCAAGAAAAAGGUGUAGCAGCUACCUUACAUCUCGUGAAGAAUUGCUACGCUGGCUACCGGAAUCAUGGGUAACAAGUUAUGAGAAGCUUCAUCAAGCUACCCAGUCGCCUAUCCAAUCAUCAGAAGCCACCUUUCAUUCUCGAAAUGAUGGAACAAUCGAGAUCAGAUUCGAGAAACCUCGAUCAUCAUCAUUUCAAAAGCAACUGUUCACUCAAUUUGGGAUAUAGAUUGAUGAACGAAGCUUCCACAGUCCAGCAAAAGAACAAAAUCCUAAACCAAGUUCUUUUGAAAGAGAUGGGCCUAUAAUCUAUCCUUUUAAAGACAAAGAUGGACACUGUUAUUUUGAUGUAUGUUCUUGUAUUACUUGUGAAGAAGCAAACUACGAAUCUGAUGAAGACAUUCGCAUACGCCGAAGAAAAAAGAAAGACCCGCUCUACAAAAGAUAUCUCGAAGGAGAUACUUCUAUCGGUCCGCUCGGUGAAGGAAGGUACGACUUUAUAGUCCAAUACUCCGACAAGAAAGAUGAGCCAAAACAAGAGAUCAUGAUGAUAAAUACCGAUGUGUUCCCUCCACAAGAAGACUUCUUAAAGAACAACAUAGCCCAUAGACCAAAGAUUCUUUCUCAAGCUAUCGACUCUUCCGGUCCCAGCCAACUAAGUCAAGCAGAGAAGGUCCUCAACUGGCAAACGGAGAAUUUGCUCCCUCAGAAUCAACUUUUAUCAACAAUAAAUCAUAAAGUUGAUCAAUUGGCGGAAGGAUAUAGUAACAGAUUACUCGUCCUCCAAAAUUUGAUCACAGAGAUACAUGGACGACUUGGCAAUCUCCAUCAAGAAAUGAUGACUAUGGCAAAACAUAUGUUGGCAAAUACAACUCAAUUCCGCAACAAAGAAGCAGAGACGACUAGUCUUAAAAACCAAUUAAGAGGUCUCCAAAAGUGCCUAGAAAGUAUGAUUCAUAAUCAGCAGCAAGCUAAUACAUACUUUGACCCCCUUGGAAACACAUCGUCAGGUAUGCCAAUGUAUCAAGGAUCCUACUAUCCUAGAUUUACUCUUUGGUCAUCAGACUCAAAAGACAAAAUCUCCAUUACUGGGCUUUCUAUCCUCCUACGAAGUCUUUACAUCUCGCUAUGGCUCGACUUCAAUCAUCUAUCAUCCCAAGACAACGCGUUCAAAGUCUCGGCGUCAAAAGGAAUCAGAAUUUCAAGUCAACUCAAAUAAGAAAAGAACUCUUACGUCGUCCUCUAGUCACGAGUCUGUUGAAGACAACAAGAAGAAAGGACAUGACAUUGGGAUAAUCGAAUUUUCGAUGGCAAACCUGCUCAAUAAUCUCAGCAAGCUUCCUGAGACAUAUGAUCAAAAGAAUCAACAACCCUCAUCUUCUCGACAAAUCAGAAAUAUCGGUCACAUCUCAGAUACAAGUUCCAGUGACUACGAGACCGAAUCAAAUGAGCAAUCUCUACCAAAACAGUUUGCAAUUGGAGAAGGAUCGAAAUCCCCAAAAAAAAGAGCCAAGUAUCAACAUGUCUAUUCCAGUGAUGAAGAAAUGAAUUAUGUGCCUCCCAGGCAGGAGAUUCCAACUAAGAAAUUUGCUUUAAAAAUCAUGGUGUUAACAUUCGAUGACAUUCCUUUUGAAAAAUGGAAUGGCCGUCUUGACGAGUUUCAUGCAUGGAUGAAUUCUGAAGCCAUUACAUCUCCUUUACAAAUGGUGAUCCAACAAUUCACUGCAAGACUAUCUGGAGCACUUAAAGAAUGGUGGAAUUCGCUCGGUGAAUAUAGACAACAACAAGUCUAUCAAACAACAAUACCAUUGCUCCUUGGAGAAAUUCAUAGAGAAUUCAUUGGUACACCUACACACCAGAAGGAACAACUACAAGACGAAUUCUUCUCAGCAAAAUGUUGUUCGUUAUGAAAGAAAGAUCUUGCAAAACACUUCGAAAGACAAACACGAAGGUACUACGCCCUGAAUGGCCUUAACAAUCCAAGCCCGAAGCACGUAUACGUCUCUUCCAUCGAUGACUAUCUUAGUCAGCAGACUAAGCUAUACAUCAGAUAUCAAGAACAAACAAUCGAAGAAGCUUCUAUUGGUCAAAUCCAGCAAUAUGUGUUCAGAACAGUGGACAAACUCUGUAAACAGAAGGAAUUCUGGAUGGAGUUCAUGGAUAGAUCGAAGCAGCUAUCAAAAAUAUGUGCCAGACCAGAUCUAUCAAUCAAGUGUUCAAAGUCCAAGAAAUCUUGCUCGUGCAGUACACAUGAGAGACGUCGAAAAUUCAAAAAUCGACUCUCUAAACGUUCCGAAAAAUUCAGACGCAGAAGAUUCUUUCGAAAGAAACGAAGCUUCAAAAAAUCAACAAGAUGUUUUCUAUGCCGAAAAGAAGGACACUUCGCAAAAAACUGUCCAAACAAAUCCGCCAAGAAGAAGAAAUACUUAAUUAACUCGAUAUCUGAAAUUGCACCAGAUAUUGACCUUGAAGGCCAUGACCUAGAGUAUGUUCUAUCUUAUGAUAGUGACGACAACGACGCUAUUUGUGGUUACUCGUGACAACUCUUCUGAGUCAUCUCCUGACGAAGAUGAUGACUGUUGUUUCAAGAUCACAAAAAUGCCACAGCAAGACGAGAUAAAAACUCUGCAUUUACAAGUGACGAUCUUCGACCCAUCCUGUCAAGAAGACCCAGUUCACGCCAUUGCAUUCAUAGACACCGGAGCCCAUACCACGAUUAUAAAUCCUAAAAUUCUUUCUCCGUCCAUGUGGCUACCUCAUCAACAGGAAUUUCGUGUUGCAAACUCGGGAUCACUGACAAUCAAGCUCAAAUCAAAACAAUUCAAGAUCAAACUUUUCCCCGGGUGCCACAACACUACCGAAGUACUCGGCUCUACUGCACCUAGAAAGGAUUUGAUAUUAGGAUGGGACUCCUAUUACGCUUUCAAGAAAGAAUUUGAUAUGUCAAUCGAACCACGAGGAUUAAGGUGGAAAAAUCUCUACAAAGCCUUCACAACGAUUCCACGACUUUUCGCAAUUGAAGGAUUGGUCUCUCAAGGGUUUACAAAAAUCAGAGAAAAAAUAACGACAACAUCAUGUGCAGACUCACAUACAAAUUUAUUCCAAAAAUGCAACAACCCACUAUGGUUAAACUCAGAGUUCUUUGUUUCCUUGCCGUUUAAGGAAAAUAUUCAAACCACCCGACAAAAGAGAGUCAUGCAGGAAUGCCACCCAGACUGCUAAAUAGGCGAAACGAUGAAUGCGACCAGCUAGUGAGACAAGGAGUAGUCUCAACAACUAAAUCUCCCUGGGCAUGCAAAGCUUUCUACGUCAAUAAUCGUGUUGAACAAGCAAGAGGAAAGUUAGGACUGGUCAUCGACUACAAGCCAUUGAAUCAGUAUCUGCAAGAUAUCAAAUUUCCGCUACCAAACAAAAGAGCGCUUCUUCAACAUCUUCAAGGAGCGACAAUAUUUUCAAAAUUUGAUCUUAAGUCAUGUUUUUGGUGACUUGGGGUUCAUCCUGAAGAAAGAUACAAAACUACAUUCUUCCUUCCUAAUCGACAUCUUCAAUGGAACGUCUUACCUUUCAGCCUCAAGACCGCACCAUCAUUAUUCCAACAAGCGAUGCUCCGUAUAUUCAAACCUCUGCUCCACACAGCCUUGAUAUAUAUCGAUGAUAUACUUCUAUUCUGAUCGACCGAAAAGGAACACGUUCAGCUUUUUCAACAGUUUCAAAGCAUCAUCAUACAAUAUGGAAUCAUGCUUUCAGCCCGAAAAAUGGUUAUAGCCUAGCCCAACAUCGACUUCCUUGGAAUGCAAAUCACAUAUGGCAAUUUUACACCACAAGCCCAUCUUGCUACAACACUCCUAGAUUUUCCGGACGAAAAUCUCACAAAACGACAAGUCCAACAAUUCCUUGGUGUAAUCAAUUAUGUUAGCGACUUUAUCCCGAAAUUUUCGUAACUGACAAGACCGCUACCGAAUAUGCUGAGAAAGAAUCCACCACAAUGGACAAAUCGGCAAACCGAAGCUGUCAGAAGCCUAAAAAUAGAGGUGCAGAAGAUACCGCCUUUAAAGAUUCCCUCCACUGGAGCACACAUUUUACAGACUGGCGCGAGUGACAAAUAUUGGGGAGCCAUUUUAUAUGAAGAAAUAAAUGGGAAACGUCAAAUCUGUGGAUAUAAAAGUGGACGCUUUAAAGAUUCCGAAAUGCAUUAUCACUCCAUGUUCAAAGAAAUACUGGCCGUCAAGAAGGCUAUCGAGAAGUUCGAGUUCCAUCGAUUUCACAUCGAAAUGGACAUGUCAUCUUUCCCAAAGAUGUUACAAUUCAAGGAGAAGAUGGUCCCACAUCAGCAAUUAUUACGAUGGAGCGAAUGGUUCUCUAAGUAUGAUUUUGAAUUUGUCUAUUUAAAGGGAUCGAAGAACACUCUCGCAGACAUGCUCAGUAGAAAUCCAGUAAAAGAAAUACAAAUAAUGGAGAGCUCUUCAGCAAGAAGUUACUAUGACUUCGAUUCCAACAUGCUUGACGACGCUCAUACGCUUAUCAAAAAAGAUGCCCUACACGAACACCUCUGCGACAAGAUUUUAUUCUAUCAAUCCAUCAUUUUGUCAAAAUACGGAAUCCACAAUCAUCUCAUUUCACCGAUGGGAAUUCACCCGGAUUACCUGUUUGCUCACCUCUACAGGAUCGAAAAUACGUACAUGCCAGAAGAAGUUCUUUGUUAUCUCUGGUAUUCAAUGGUUAUACCAAUACAUCAGCACACAAUUCACUGACCCUCAACGAGGACAUAAGGAAUGCCUCUCGACAUUUCUAACAUGGUUUGCACCAUUAUCUGUUUGGAAGGGUAAAUUAUGGAAAUCAGCAAAAGCAACGGGCUUAUCAUUCAAGAAGUUAAGGAGUCAAGGAGGUCUCAACCUUUCUUCAACCCUCAUACAAUAUACUUCUUUCACCGCCCAGUUCAAGUCGACAACAAAACCGGCAAAAUUCACGCGCUACCUACUCUCAUUCACCACAACGACUACCAACGAGGAGUCAGACCAGAUUUCAACCUCAAUGACAACAAGGCGUAUGAAGACUUUCAAACACAUGUGAUCCGUCUCAACAGUGCCAUGCAAUUAUUUCCCAUUCCUUUCAUCCCGAAUUGGUUCUAUUACCUUAUAAACUACCAAAUGAGCCUCGACGAAGAUCUUCAAUUCUGUAUGGAUAAACGUGCUAAUCCACCAGUUGUUCAAGAUAUCCCAAAGGAAGAAAAACAUGACUUUCAAUCCCAAGAAUGCCCACCAGAGUACUUUCAAGACGCCCAACUCCCGGAUGACUUAAUGAACAUUGAUGAAGUCGGAAGAAUGUUCAACAUCGAAAUCAACGACGAUUCACAGCAGCCUCACGAAGAGCCAGAAGAAGAGUAUAUAUGUCCAGACGAUCACUAUGGAUGUUGUGACAAACACAUCAUUGACUUCGAGAUCGACCACUAAUUAAGUCGUCUGCAAUGUAUAAUUAUUUAAAAUAAGUGUGUUUAAUUAUGUAAAAUAAGUGUGUUUAAUUAUGUAAAAUAAGUGUAAUCAAUAAUGAUGUAAGCGAUGAUGUAAUCGCUGUAAGCUUAUUUAAGCAUGAUGUAAGCGAUGAUGUAAUCGCCAUUGUAAAUACGUGUCUUAUCCUCCACUAUAAAUAUGUGUGUACCCCCAUUGAAAAAUAUAAAAUAAUUUCAUAAAAAACCUCUCUCUAAGUUUCUCUCUCUAAUGUUCUUCUAAACUCUUAAGUUUUUCAGACCUUAUCACAUCUUUGAUAAGCUUUGAUUUUUGUCUUCCGAUCGCAAGUCCCGAUUCUGUCCGUUGCAUAAUUAAGCAUAAGUAAUUCUGUCAACACGAUCUUAUCAACACGACGCCUCCCGGUGGUUGAGCAAAUUGGUGGCAGCCUCCCGGUGGUUGAGCAAAUUGGUGGCAAAACAAAUAGUGCCCAUAUUGCUUCCUAUACUUGGAAAUCGCCAUGCCCUCGUUUGUUACAUUUUCUGGAGUUAGAGUUGAUUCCGCGCACCUGAUCAGAUUUUUCUUUUUCAAUUAAUAGAUCAAAUUUAUGAUUGAUCAUGUUUUUUAGUUGAUUGUACAUAAUGUUGCUUGCUCGUGUGGCUCGUGGAUAUUCAAACAAUCAAAGUACUAUAUUACACUAGGGGUUUAGCCCCCGCGCAACCGCGGGACUGGGUAAGUUGUCGAUGCAUUGUGUUGUUUUGUGCAUGUAAUUGUAUUGUUUGUUUUUUGAUAAAAGUUAAUUUUGUCAUGUUGUCUAUAAUUGUCUACGAAUGGAGGAUCGAAAGUUAUACAUGUUGAUUAGGUAGAUCUAACAAUGGCCAUAGUAUUCAUUUCGCUGUUAUUGUUUUUAAUCUUAUAUUGGUAUAGAUUUGAUUGACCUCUAGCGUAAAAAUGAUCAAAGAUAAUCGAACUUUUGUAGUUGUUAAGUUACGGUUAAAAUAGUGUAAGGAAAAGGGUUUAAAUUUUGAUUUUAAAAUUUUUAAAUGUAUAUGUACAGUAAAUAAUAUAAUUUUCUUAGUUUACACGGACUUUAUUGUGAAACUUCUCAAAUGUAGUCUUUUUUGUAAAAUUAAAGUAAUACGUGAAGAUAUGUAUAUAUUUAUAUUGUUAUAUAACUAUUUAUUAUAGAGUGUUAGCGAUUUUUUUAAUAAAAAUGGUUUUGUGGUUUUUAAAAAAAAAUCAAUCGCAGACCAAAAAAAGAAAUUGGUAUAGCUUUAUGUUUCAAGAAAAUAAUCUGGGUUUAAAUUGUUUAGGUUUAAAAUUUGGUGGGCCUUGGAACAUUAGUUUUCUCUGCUUCUAACUCAACCGUUAGGUCGUUUUAUUUUUCAUCGUCGGGAGAGCUUCUAGCUUUCCAGUUAUUAAUUCAACCCAAUGAUCGUCCACCCCACCAAAGGCAUCUAGGAGCGUAGUCCCGCGCUUCCGAAAACAUAUUUUUUCAAUAUGGAACAUUAUUGUAUCAAACAUGAGUAAAUGUAUAUAAACUGACCAAGGCUUUCGACUUGUGGUUCCUUGCUGCAAUUGUUUUAAAUGAUUUUGCGCAAUGGUUAAUAUGGUGUCAUGAAAUUAUUGAAAUACUUUAGAUUUUGUAUGAAUGGUCAUUAAAGCUAAUUUUCUUUAACUAAAUUAAACCCUACAAUUCACACAAUUUAUGUAAAAUCAAAUUAUAUUAACACAAUCAUAUAUAGAUCACAAGAUUUUCUCAUAAUAUUAACAAAAGUCUUAAGACUCCAAAAAGAUUGACAAAAGUCUUAAGACUCAAUUGACCAAAAGCAAGGCCAAGUCAAAUAAAAAACAUUGAAAAAGCUCAAGAAGCCUCUGCAUCUGUAAGUAAACUUACUUCGCCUUUGUCUUAGAUUUCUUGAGAAGACUGGAAGUUCUGAACUCAUCAUCGUCUCUAAUAAAGCUCCACCAGAGAAUGGUUAGAGGAACUGUGGCGAUGUGCCAAAUAGAGUGAGCAUCGAAGUAGCCUCCAUACGGAGGGAAGUCAUAUAUCUCUAAAAGCAUAGCUAAACCUGAAGCUAUCACACAACCACCCACAGUUUCCAAUUAGAAGGAUGCCCAGAAACAGCUGCCCAUCUUGCCCAUAGGAAAAGCUGAGCGACUCCCAUGGCCACACACACAAUCAUGUUCCAACCUGUAAACAACAUUGAACUCAGAGAGAAUGUGGAGAAAAAAAAUGGAACUGGUUUCAGAUAGGGGAAAGAGUUCUCUGUAUACCAUAAUCAAGUUUGUAGAAGUUAAUGUACAGUACGUGGAUGGUGACUAAAGCUAGUAAUGGAGCGGAUACCAUGACUCUUGCAGCCUCCACCCGAACAUCAAAGGUUCUUAGGAUGGAUACGAUGAGUGAGAAUCCGAGAACGGCUAUUGCAGAUGAGUAGUCCAACCUCUUUGUGAUGUCAACAUCCCUGAGAAACCAUAGAGACAGAUCACGAGAAGAUUGAGGAUGAUAAAAGUAAUGUGUAGAUGAUUACCGAGUGUGGAAAACUGCACUCCAGAACCAAGAGUUCAUGGACAGAAACCAACAUAUUCAUAGUAACCCGUCCUAUCUUGUUUGAGAGGCAACUUAUAGUAUAGUGUAAUGAAGAAGGAGAGCCAUCCAUGGAAAUGCAUCGCUAGGCUUAGCACAGAGAAAGUAACAGAAGCAGGGUCCUGACAAUGACCACGGGCUCUUCUCAUCAUGGCUACCAUGUCCGUUUCCUGAACAAAUUCAUUAAUUAUUCCAGUUCUCUAAACAUAACAUCUAAAUGUUGUAACUUCUCAAUCUUACCAUGGUAUUCUCCAUUGAGCCAGACAUGCAAUGCGUGGCCAACGUUAGAAACUCUAACAGUAGGCUUGCCUCCUUUAUUCUUAAGGUCACUGUCAUCUAUCUUGAACUUAUAAUAUAGAAAAUUAAUCAGAUAAAAUUCUUAUGUUUCUUUUUGAUGUUUUCUUCUUGAAAUUCUAAUUCAUAAAAAGAAAUCAGACUUGUACGCUUACUUUGUUGUAUACCAUCUGUAAUCAGACCGGUCUCGGUGAACACCUUGAAAUCAAACUUCUUAUUUGCCUUCUUUGACUUCAUAUAAUUUCCUUCAGUGUGAUGAGAGACAAUCUGAAACAUAUAGCAAAAAAAAAAAAGAGUAAAUAAUCUCUUAAUUUUUUGUCGAUACAAUACCUGAGUAGAGUGCUUCCCAUGAAUUCACCAUGCUUCUUGAUGUUUUCCGAGUUCCAAAAAUGGGAGAAGUCGAGCAACAAUGAACGCUUGAUAAAGAAGAUUAACUAACAGAGGUUCUGAAGAUUCAUCUAUAAUUUAUAGGUUUUGCGUGAAGGAAACGGAGAGGUCGACAUCACUUCUGAAUUAAAUGACGAAAACAUUAAUUGGUAAAUCAAGAGACAUACGUUGAACAAUAGGGAAGAUUAGUGUUUGGUGUUUGCAGAGAAGCUGAACGGAGACGGCAAAGGUAAAGAGACGAAGAACAAUUAAAAAAACCCUAAUCGACAAAACGCUGUGUUUAAUAACAUAAUAAAACAUUAGUUGAACGGGAAAACUCAAAUCAUACCAUAUAAUUUAAAAACCAAACGCGAGAAUAGAAUUACUAAACCAAACCGAGAAUCAUGGACCCCACAGUCUUCAUAAAAUGCAUACGUGUACAGCUUAAGGAGAGAGUAAACUCUCCUAUCAUAAAUAUAUAUUAGUUUCGGCCAUCAAUGUACAAGUAUCCUUUAGUUUAGUGUAUAAAUGUUGGUGUUUAUAUGUCAAUAACCCGGGUUCGAGCCACAGAUUUGACACUUUUUUAAACUUUUUAAAAGUGAGACCCACAGACCGCUAACGUGGCGGCACAAGAAUGAGGCAACUGUCUCAUUAUAUUAUAGAUUAGUUAUUUGUCAUUUGAUAAUUUUAUAACUUCUACCAUUUUUAGUGUGUUUAUUUAUAAAACUAACCAUUUAGUAUAUACUUGUGACGGAAAAAAAUCGUAACAAUAUCACUGAAUCUUAUAAUGUAUGUUAAUAAAAUUUAUUUCAUAGCAAAAUAAUAUAUUAUGUUUUUCAGUUUUAUAUGGAUCAUAAUUUUCUUUAUACACCAAAUAAUUUUAAACUUACAAAACCUAAUUAAUUUAAAUUUUAAAAUUAUAGGAAAUAUGAAAAUUGAGAUUUUUUCUGCUAACUUUUGAAUUUAGAUUGUAUAUAAUAAUAUAACCAAAAAAAUUUAACUCAGUAUAAUUUAUAAAUUUUAUUAAUUAUAUACUACAUUAUUAACUUAAAGUUUGUUUUUGUAUUCUUAGAAUUCAGUAGAUCUUUGUGAGUUAUAUUGAUGUGAAAAUUAUUAACAUAUAUAUAUAUUAAACAAACUUAGUAUAUUUACAAAGCAACUUCUAAAAUUGGAAGAAAGAUAUAACUACAAAGCAACUUCGUCACUCCAAAAGGAUAACACUUACUUUGGGUUCUCCUCCACUGCCUUUUUUUAGUUUCGACCUUGUGCUCUAUUUCAAUGCAAGGCAAACCAUUUCCAAACACAAAAUCUUCGAGCUCUUCUUGUUCAUUCACUGAAGCUCUGGCUUUGGUUAGUUGAGUAGUCUUGUUUCUCUUCUUCUGGGCCUCCAACUACAUGAAUUAUAGACUUUUCAAUCCAUGUGAUCUUUUGAUGUAUAGCAGAGAGUAUGCCCUGAGAUAAGUACUGAUAAUUCAAAUCAA